CGGUGCGCAAGACGCUGGUCGUUUUUUAUUUUGUCAGCGCCGCCAUUAAAUCCGCAUCUAAAUCAACAUUCAGAGCUUAGAAUCAGUAUUCAUCGAUUUAAAAACAUUCAACGAUUUUUAUGAAGCUCGGAGAACAAACAACGCAAUGGAGUUCGAAUAACAACAGUAAAGACUGACUGAGGUGGUUUAAGUCUCAUUAAUGAGGAGUCGCGCGCGGAGCGAUAUUUCUGUCUCCGCCUCAAUGUGUGACUCUGAUGUAAGUGUGUGUUGAGUGCGUGUGUGUGUGAGUGAGUGAGUGAGUGUGUGUGUGUGUGUGUGCUGAUCCAUCAUGACAGAGCUGUGUGUGAAGUGGUCGUGUGAGUACUGCACGUAUGAAAACUGGCCGUCUGCUAUUAAAUGCACCAUGUGUCGGGCGCAGAAACCCAGCGCAACCAUCAUCACAGCGGACCCAUUCCCGGGCAGAACCGACCCGACCCCGGUUCUCAUCUGUCCCGACUCCAGCGCGCGGCCCCGGGUCCGGUCGGCCCAGUCCGUGGAGCCCAGCGGGAAGUGGUCGUGUCAGGUGUGCACGUUCCUGAACUGGCCCAGAUCGGUGCGCUGUACUCAGUGCCGAAGCCUCCGGGCCACAGAACCACCGUCCGGGACCGGCCGGCCCGCGUCGGACCCGUGUGAGGAGUACAACGACCGGAACCGGCUCAACAUGCGCGUGCAGUGCUGGACCUGCUCGGGCUGCUCGUACGAGAACUGGCCCAAAUCGGCUCGCUGCGUGGUGUGUGACCAGGCCCGACCCAACGACGCCUACCAGCCCGCCGAGCCGGACGAGAUCAACGAGCUCUCCGCCGUGAUCAACGAGACGGAGCGCAGGCGCGCGCGGGGUGUGUGUAGCGGAGCGCGCCGACACUCGCCCAGCUCGUCCACGCGCGAGGCCGAAGUGCAGAUCGAGCUCGCCGCCGGCGCUCAGAGCGGGAGAGACGACAGAGAGGUGGACUUCAAGAAGCUCAAGCAGAUCAAGAACCGCAUGAGGAAGACGGACUGGCUGUUCCUCAACGCCUGCGCUGGUGUGGUCGAAGGCGAUCUGCCGGCGGUCGAGGCCUAUAAGUCGUCAGGCGGUGACAUCGCGCGUCAGCUGACCGGUGAUGAGGUGCGUCUGCUGAACCGGCCCUCCGCCUUCGAUAGCGGAUUCACACUCGUACACCUCGCCAUACGCUUCCAGAGGCAGGACAUGCUGGCCGUGCUGCUGACAGAGGUGUCCCAGCGCGCAGUGAAAUGCAUCCCAGCGAUGGUCUGCCCUGAACUGACGGAGCAGAUCCGCAGAGAGAUCAGCGCAUCACUGCACCAGCGCAAGGGAGACUUCAACUGCUACUUCCUGACUGACCUCGUCACGUUCACACUGCCGGCAGAUAUUGAGGAUCUUCCUCCUGCCGUUCAGCAGAAGCUGUUUGAUGAAGUUCUGGACCGAGACGUGCAGAAGGAGCUGGAGGAGGAGUCUGCGGUCAUCAACUGGUCUCUGGAGUCGGGCUCGCGUCUGGACUCGCGUCUCUACGCCCUGUGGAACCGCACCGCCGGAGACUGCCUGCUGGACUCGGUCCUCCAGGCCACAUGGGGCAUCUGUGACAAAGACUCCGUGCUGAGGAAGACCCUACACGACAGCUUACACGACUGCUCGCACUGGUUCUACACUCGCUGGAAGGAAUGGGAGUCGUGGUAUUCACAGAGUUUUGGGCUUCACUUCUCUCUGAGAGAGGAACAGUGGCAGGAGGACUGGACCUUCAUCAUCAACCUCGCCAGUCAGCCCGGGGCGAGUCUAGAGCAAACACACAUCUUCGUUCUGGCUCAUAUCCUGCGGCGGCCCAUCAUCGUCUACGGGGUGAAGUACUACAAGAGCUUCCGGGGAGAAACUUUAGGGUUCACUCGAUUUCAAGGUGUUUACCUGCCGUUGCUAUGGGAACAGAGCUUCUGCUGGAAGAGUCCGAUUGCUCUCGGUUACACGAGAGGUCACUUUUCUGCUCUGGUCGGCAUGGAAACGGACGGUUGUGAUAAUCGUGGUGCAGGCGCCAAUCUGAACACCGAUGAGGACGUGAGCGUGACCUUCCUGCCGCUGGUGGACAGCGAGAGGAAACUACUACAGAUACACUUCCUGUCAGCACAAGAGAUGGGCAGUGAGGAGCAGCAGGAGCGUCUGCUCAGGGAUUGGCUGGACUGCUGUGUGACGGAGGGCGGGACGCUAGCGGCGCUGCAGAAGAGCAUCAGGCGCAGACGUCACCCGCUCGUCACACACAUGCUGGAGAAGUGGCUCGACGGGUACCGGCAGACGCUCGCGUGCCCCUCCGACGGCGAGGACGACGACGACGACGACUGACACACAUCUCAGCACACUAGCGCUGUCACACGUACCGACUCCGGUACCUAGUUGUGCUGACAUCUUAAAGAUGUGGCGCUUUGAGCGCUGUUGCGGAAUCGUGAACGCCUCUGAUUGGCUGUUGUGUUCAUGAGCUCAUCGGAUGCGUCUGAUUGGCUGCAAUGAUACAUUAUACAUCAAUGACAGUCUUCAGCGAGCGAUUGCACACACACACACACGUAAGCGGUUCGGUCCAGCUAGUGCUUUCAAACGCUCCCUGAUCACUGCAGCCAAUCACAGUCAUGCCCGAGCAGCGCGCGAACACAACAGCCAAUCAGAGGCGUUUACGAUGACGCUCAAAGUGGCACGUUUUUGCAACUUUAGGAGCGACUUGGUACCGAACUCGGUGCUUUUGACAAGACAACAACACACGCUACUCUUUCCCAGAAUGCAAUGCAACCCCCUCCCCAAACAUUGAGGGCUAUCUUUGUGUUUAGUCACAUGAAUUUGUUUUUUUCUGUACGUUUGUGUCCGUCGUGCUGCAUGUGGCUCUUUAAACACGGAAUGAUGAAAUAUAAAGAGCUUAUUAAACGAGCGCUCACACAAUGUUUAUUGUUUAGAGGUUUCCGUAGAAACGCUAAAACUGACAGGAAGCAGCGUCACACUAACGACACGCACACCUCUCUCUCACCAGUGUUCCUGUUUCUGACACGUGUGCGUUUCUUUCUUCUUUUGAUUGUAUUUAUUUUUGUCUGGAUGCUGACCCCUGUGUUGACCUUUGACCUGUACUGAUGUCAGGUGAUCCAGAACAGCUUUAACAUUAAAGUAGAAACACGUCUGCUGUC